GUCGAUGGGAAACGGGUUAAUAUUCCCGUACUUGGUGUUACUGCGAAGGGGGGACGGAGAAGGCUAUGUUGGCCGGGCGACGGUUGUCCCGGUUUAAGCGUGUAGGUGUGUGUUCCAGGUAAAUCCGGUUCACUUUAACACUGAGGCGUGACGACGAGGCACUACGGUGCUGAAGCAACAAAUGCCCUGCUUCCAGGAAAAGCCUCUAAGCAUCAGGUAACAUCAAAUCGUACCCCAAACCGACACAGGUGGUCAGGUAGAGAAUACCAAGGCGCUUGAGAGAACUCGGGUGAAGGAACUAGGCAAAAUGGUGCCGUAACUUCGGGAGAAGGCACGCUGACACGUAGGUGAAGUGAUUUACUCAUGGAGCUGAAGUCAGUCGAAGAUACCAGCUGGCUGCAACUGUUUAUUAAAAACACAGCACUGUGCAAACACGAAAGUGGACGUAUACGGUGUGACGCCUGCCCGGUGCCGGAAGGUUAAUUGAUGGGGUCAGCGCAAGCGAAGCUCCUGAUCGAAGCCCCGGUAAACGGCGGCCGUAACUAUAACGGUCCUAAGGUAGCGAAAUUCCUUGUCGGGUAAGUUCCGACCUGCACGAAUGGCGUAAUGAUGGCCAGGCUGUCUCCACCCGAGACUCAGUGAAAUUGAACUCGCUGUGAAGAUGCAGUGUACCCGCGGCAAGACGGAAAGACCCCGUGAACCUUUACUAUAGCUUGACACUGAACAUUGAGCCUUGAUGUGUAGGAUAGGUGGGAGGCUUUGAAGUGUGGACGCCAGUCUGCAUGGAGCCGACCUUGAAAUACCACCCUUUAAUGUUUGAUGUUCUAACGUGGACCCGUAAUCCGGGUUGCGGACAGUGUCUGGUGGGUAGUUUGACUGGGGCGGUCUCCUCCUAAAGAGUAACGGAGGAGCACGAAGGUUGGCUAAUCCUGGUCGGACAUCAGGAGGUUAGUGCAAUGGCAUAAGCCAGCUUGACUGCGAGCGUGACGGCGCGAGCAGGUGCGAAAGCAGGUCAUAGUGAUCCGGUGGUUCUGAAUGGAAGGGCCAUCGCUCAACGGAUAAAAGGUACUCCGGGGAUAACAGGCUGAUACCGCCCAAGAGUUCAUAUCGACGGCGGUGUUUGGCACCUCGAUGUCGGCUCAUCACAUCCUGGGGCUGAAGUAGGUCCCAAGGGUAUGGCUGUUCGCCAUUUAAAGUGGUACGCGAGCUGGGUUUAGAACGUCGUGAGACAGUUCGGUCCCUAUCUGCCGUGGGCGCUGGAGAACUGAGGGGGGCUGCUCCUAGUACGAGAGGACCGGAGUGGACGCAUCACUGGUGUUCGGGUUGUCAUGCCAAUGGCACUGCCCGGUAGCUAAAUGCGGAAGAGAUAAGUGCUGAAAGCAUCUAAGCACGAAACUUGCCCCGA
rnacentral:rRNA from 1 species